CAGCAGAAACUGUUUUUAACCGCUCGGCACCGCACACUAUUGAACCUUAAUUGUGAAUGAAAAGAAAAUAGAAAGCGUUUAAGUGACGCUGUUUUGGUUUUGUUUAUGGAUUUGGGUUUGAGCCAACAGUUUGAUGCAUGCAUGAAUUUGUUUGUUUACUUUCACAUAUCAUACACUCGCAACACACAUAUUUCAUUAGUUCAUUAGCUCAUUCAAACACUCACCCACUACAAACUGACCAUCUUCAAGCAAAACGACAACAAAUGAAACCCAAGCUGGUGUCCUGGGUCUGCUUCAGUGCUGGAUGCAGGCAGGGGGCGUCUGGUGGCAGCAGUCUGAUGCGGGCGUGCAGCUGCUGAUAGACUUCCGAGCUUGAAAGAUGCUUCACAUGUUCAAAGAGGAGACAUAUCACUAUAACUGUCUCUGCAUCCUGGAGUCACGCCAACAACGCCAACACCGUGAAUAACUACCAUCCACUACUCAUUUAAAUCCUUCGGUCUUAUGCUCCGGUUGUGUCCAAAGACUUCUUCCCAGUGUUUGUCAACAAUAACAGAAACAUGUUAUUGUUAUUAUGUGUUACAAACAAAUCCGUCAGUCGUCAUUAAUCUUAGACUUUGACGUUUUACUGAGAGAAAAAGGUCAUUCACAUAUGUUUACACUUUGACCAUCAGGAAUGGUAAAAUGCUCAAGUUACAUUGUCAUGAAGGCAAACAGAUGAUUUCUAUUUCUGGGGCAAAUUGUUUUAAAAGCCUAUCAAAAUGGACCGAUACUGUUGGACCUUGGAUUCUGAGGUCCUUAAUGUGUCUUGUAUCGGCAUUUGUGACUUUGAUGUUAAAUCCAAGUCAAACACACACAUUUCCCUAACACACACACACACACACACACACACACACACGCGCACACACACUCGUACAUAAACUUGUUAUCUUAAGUUCAAAGCAGAGCCCGGGUGUCUCUCUUCUUCCGUGAAGAGGCUUAGCCAACCCUUGGAAAAUGCUUUUAUGAUAAGAGCUAAUUGUACCGGCGUGAUUGAUAUCGAGCCGUUUAAGACCUAAUCACACUGACCUUUUCCUACUGCUGGGGAAUGCUCAGAUUUUGCCAGGAAGAACAAAUGCACGGCUCCAUUGUUCUGAUCAUCUGUUAAUAGCAACACAUUUUAGGGGUGUGACGAUACAACAGGAUGGCACGAUAUUUCGCCACACUCCUAAUGAGUGAAAGUCUCAAUAAAAUAAAAUAUUUU